rnacentral:rRNA from 1 species
UACGGAGGGUGCGAGCGUUGUCCGGAAUCACUGGGCGUAAAGGGCGCGCAGGCGGCCGUGUAAGUCCGCUGUGAAAGACCGGGGCUCAACCCCGGGGUGUCAGCGGGGACUGCACGGCUGGAGUCCCGGAGGGGGAGGCGGAAUACCUGGUGUAGCGGUGGAAUGCGUAGAGAUCAGGUGGAACACCGAUGGCGAAGGCAGCCUCCUGGACGGGUACUGACGCUGAGGCGCGAAAGCGUGGGGAGCGAACGGG